GUCAGUGUGGUGUAGUGGUUUGAGCAUCACACUACAAGACUGUAAAACAGGGUUCAAAUCCCUGCUCGGCCA